GUGCUCGCUUCGGCAGCACAUAUACUAAAAUUGGAACAAUACGGAGAAGAUUAGCAUGGCCCCUGUGCAAGGAUGACAUGCAAAUUUGUGAAGCACUCCAUACUUUU
rnacentral:snRNA from 1 species